UAACCUGGUUGAUCCUGCCAGUUUGUCAUAUGCUUCUUUCAAGGACUAAGCCAUGCAAAUGUCAGUGGACCUGAGUUCACUCGGGGGGACUGUGUACGGCUCAUUAAACGGUUAAUAGUCUACCCAACAGAGAAGGCAUUCGUGCCUUCCGACGGGAUAACUGCCCUAACUGGGCAGCUAAUACCUGGACGAA
rnacentral:rRNA from 1 species